rnacentral:lncRNA from 1 species
CAGAAAGGCCCGUGCCUCAGUGCUUACGCAGCUACGGGUUUAUUUUCGGCACUGUCAGACAAGCAGCCAUCUCUGCUGUUUUGCAUUUAUCUGGUUCAGUACGUCAACAGUGUCUCUGAUCAAGGUCUCGAAGAUCCCAUCUGCCAACUGCAUCUUUACACACAGUUCAUCCUCAUCAUAGUUCACCCACUGGGCUUCCUCCUCGUGGAGUUCCUGCACCAAUAUGUGAUCCACUCUGUCUCGUUUCUUCCGCCCAAAUUUCAUCAUCUUCUGCCAGUCUGUUUUGUUAUUAGACUCUUUCUUUAGACUGAAAAGCUUCAGUACUUCAGCUGCAAUGAAGUUCUUGAUCUCAUCCAAAUCAUUUGGAUCCUUCACUCGGCGAAAAUAAGCAGAUGCAAUCCUACAUGGCUUCAUCCAAAU